GACGAACGCUGGCGGCGUGCUUAACACAUGCAAGUCGAACGGAAAGGCCCUGCUUUUGUGGGGUACUCGAGUGGCGAACGGGUGAGUAACACGUGAGUAACCUGCCCUUGACUUUGGGAUAACUUCAGGAAACUGGGGCUAAUACCGGAUAGGAGCUCCUGCUGCAUGGUGGGGGUUGGAAAGUUUCGGCGGUUGGGGAUGGACUCGCGGCUUAUCAGCUUGUUGGUGGGGUAGUGGCUUACCAAGGCUUUGACGGGUAGCCGGCCUGAGAGGGUGACCGGCCACAUUGGGACUGAGAUACGGCCCAGACUCCUACGGGAGGCAGCAGUGGGGAAUAUUGCACAAUGGGCGGAAGCCUGAUGCAGCAACGCCGCGUGCGGGAUGACGGCCUUCGGGUUGUAAACCGCUUUCGCCUGUGACGAAGCGUGAGUGACGGUAAUGGGUAAAGAAGCACCGGCCAACUACGUG
rnacentral:rRNA from 1 species